UGGCUAAUGCCGGAUACGCAUGGAACCGCAUGGUUCCGUUGUGAAAGGCGCUGUAAGGCGCCACUAAAAGAUGAGGGUGCGGAACAUUAGUUAGUUGGUGAGGUAAUGGCCCACCAAGACUAUGAUGUUUAGCCGGGUCGAGAGACUGAACGGCCACAUUGGGACUGAGAUACGGCCCAAACUCCUACGGGAGGCAGCAGUAGGGAAUAUUCCACAAUGAGCGAAAGCUUGAUGGAGCGACACAGCGUGCACGAUGAAGGUCUUCGGAUUGUAAAGUGCUGUUAUAAGGGAAGAACAUUUGCAAUAGGAAAUGAUUGCAGACUGACGGU
rnacentral:rRNA from 2 species